GCCGGGCAUGGUGGCGCAUGCCUGUAGUCCCAGCUACUCAGGAGGCUGAGGCAGGAGAAUCGCUUGAACCCGGGAGGCAGAGGUUGCAGUGAGCCAAGAUCAUGCCACUGCACUCCAGCCUGGGCAACAGAGCAAGACUCCGUCUCAA
rnacentral:SRP_RNA from 1 species